UUAACUAAAACGAUAUUUGUGUCACAAUAUAACAGAAAAGUUAUAAUCCAACCGUCUUUUCGUUUGAAGUCAAUUUCUGACACGCAUAUUUUCAAGUCAGUUGUCAAUAGCGGUGGACGCACAAGAAGAAUCGGAUAGAUGAAACGUGUUUUUUCAGAGGGAGGGGUUUUGAAGUUAGAACAGCCAACAUUAGCAACAUAGUGACCAUUUGCCAUUAGACAUAGUGACCAUUCGCCAUUAGAUUCACUGGCCAAAAAAGCAAAAGUGUCGGACAAAAAGCAAAAUAAUCGGACAAAAAGCAAAACGGACAAAAAGCAACGGACAAAAAGCAAAAGUGUCGGACAAAAAGCAAAAUAAUCGGACAAAAAGCAAAACGGACAAAAAGCAACGGACAAAAAGCAAAAGUGUCGGACAAAAAGCAAAAUUAUCGGACAAAAAGCAAAAACGGACAAAAAGCGAAUUGCGAACAAAAAGCACCGUAUCAUACGGUGUUACACUAUAAUAUACACAUCUAGAUUAUCAAUAUUUUUGGGACGAAUUCUAUAUUGAGUAUAGAAUCCCACAUCUUACUAAGCAACAUCAAACAUUUUGUUUUAAUUUGUAGACCAGUACAAAAUCUUUGUUUCAAUGUGAAAGUCUUUUCAUGAAAACAAGAAUAUAUAAGAUUUAAUAAUU